rnacentral:rRNA from 1 species
CCUACGGGAGGCAGCAGUGAGGAAUAUUGGUCAAUGGUCGAGAGUCUGAACCAGCCAAGUCGCGUGAGGGAUGAAGGCCCUACGGGUUGUAAACCUCUUUUGCCAGGGAACAAAGCCCGGGACGCGUCCCCCCUCGAGUGUACCCGACGAACAAGCAUCGGCUAACUCCGUGCCAGCAGCCGCGGUAAUACGGAGGAUGCGAGCGUUAUCCGGAUUUAUUGGGUUUAAAGGGUGCGCAGGCGGUCUCGGAAGUCAGCGGUAAAAUUGGGGGGCCAAACCUCGGCCCGCCGUUGAAACUGGGAGUCUUGAGUGGGAGAGAAGUAUGCGGAAUGCGUGGUGUAGCGGUGAAAUGCAUAGAUAUCGCGCAGAACUCCGAUUGCGAAGGCAGCGUGCCGGAGCCAAACUGACGCUGAUGCACGAAAGCGUGGGUAUCGAACAGGAUUAGAUACCCGUGUAGUC